rnacentral:rRNA from 1 species
GAUGAACGCUGGCGGCGUGCCUAAUACAUGCAAGUCGAGCGAACGGACGAGACGCUUGCUUUUCUGAUGUUAGCGGCGGACGGGUGAGUAACACGUGGAUAACCUACCUAUAAGACUGGGAUAACUUCGGGAAACCGGAGCUAAUACCGGAUAAUAUUUUGAACCGCAUGGUUCAAAAGUGAAAGACGGUCUUGCUGUCACUUAUAGAUGGAUCCGCGCUGCAUUAGCUAGUUGGUAAGGUAACGGCUUACCAAGGCAACGAUGCAUAGCCGACCUGAGAGGGUGAUCGGCCACACUGGAACUGAGACACGGUCCAGACUCUACGGGAGGCAGCAGUAGGGAAUCUUCCGCAAUGGGCGAAAGCCUGACGGAGCAACGCCGCGUGAGUGAUGAAGGUCUUCGGAUCGUAAAACUCUGUUAUUAGGGAAGAACAUAUGUGUAAGUAACUGUGCACAUCUUGACGGUACCUAAUCAGAAAGCCACGGCUAACUACGUG